rnacentral:rRNA from 1 species
UACGUAGGGUGCGAGCGUUGUCCGGAAUUAUUGGGCGUAAAGAGCUCGUAGGCGGUCUGUCGCGUCGAUCGUGAAAACUUGGGGCUUAACCCUGAGCUUGCGGGCGAUACGGGCAGACUGGAGUACUGCAGGGGAGACUGGAAUUCCUGGUGUAGCGGUGGAAUGCGCAGAUAUCAGGAGGAACACCGGUGGCGAAGGCGGGUCUCUGGGCAGCAACUGACGCUGAGGAGCGAAAGCAUGGGGAGCGAACAGG